rnacentral:rRNA from 2 species
GGCUCGCAGGCGGUUUCUUAAGUCUGAUGUGAAAGCCCCCGGCUCAACCGGGGAGGGUCAUUGGAAACUGGGAAACUUGAGUGCAGAAGAGGAGAGUGGAAUUCCACGUGUAGCGGUGAAAUGCGUAGAGAUGUGGAGGAACACCAGUGGCGAAGGCGACUCUCUGGUCUGUAACUGACGCUGAGGAGCGAAAGCGUGGGGAGCGAACAGGAUUAGAUACCCUGGUAGUCCACGCCGUAAACGAUGAGUGCUAAGUGUUAGGGGGUUUCCGCCCCUUAGUGCUGCAGCUAACGCAUUAAGCACUCCGCCUGGGGAGUACGGUCGCAAGACUG